rnacentral:rRNA from 1 species
GACGUAGGGCGCGAGCGUUGUCCGGAUUUAUUGGGCGUAAAGAGCUCGUAGGCGGCUUGUCGCGUCGAAUGUGAAAUCUCAGGGCUCAACUCUGACAUUGCAUUCGAUACGGGCAGGCUAGAGUUCGGUAGGGGAGACUGGAAUUCCGGGUGUAGCGGUGGAAUGCGUAGAGAUCCGGAAGAACACCGGUGGCGAAGGCGGUUGGCUGGGCCACAACUGACACUGAUGCGCGACAGCGUGGGGAGCAAACAGG